GAUGAACGCUGGCGGCGUGCCUAAUACAUGCAAGUCGAGCGAACGGACGAGAAGCUUGCUUCUCUGAUGUUAGCGGCGGACGGGUGAGUAACACGUGGAUAACCUACCUAUAAGACUGGGAUAACUUCGGGAAACCGUAGCUAAUACCGGAUAAUAUUUUGAACCGCAUGGUUCAAAAGUGAAAGACGGUCUUGCUGUCACUUAUAGAUGGAUCCGCGCUGCAUUAGCUAGUUGGUAAGGUAACGGCUUACCAAGGCAACGAUGCAUAGCCGACCUGAGAGGGUGAUCGGCCACACUGGAACUGAGCCACGGUCCCGACUCCUACGGGAGGCAGCAGUAGGGAAUCUUCCGCAAUGGGCGGAAGCCUGACGGAGCAGCGCCGCGUGAGUGAUGAAGGUCUUCGGAUCGUAAAGCUCUGUUAUUAGGGAAGAACAUAUGUGUAAGUAACUGUGCACAUCUUGACGGUACCUAAUCAGAAAGCCACGGCUAACUACGUG
rnacentral:rRNA from 1 species